CAGCCAGCCUGCUGGGCCCCGGCCCCUGACCCCAAGGCUUCAGGAAGAGGCUCCCACACACACACACCUGCGGUGUGCGAAGCUCACAUUGUUCUGGGCUCACAGCCUGAGCAAGGCCCCUUGCUCUCAGGAGCCUCCAGCUCUUUCUGGACCUGAGCCCCGGGAGCCUUCACUCCGCCCAGAUGUGCUUCCUGUGGAAGGAGACCCGCAGAUGACACAGAAAAUCUGAGCAGCAGGUGAGUCCGAAGGACUGCCCGGAACCCCAGAGCAUGGCAGUGGGCGAGCAGACCUCCCUGUCCUGGGCAUCCCUGUGGCCAUGGAGCUUCUGGGUGAACAGCUGCUCUGAGACAAGUCUGGUGAAGAACACAGCAGGACUCCUGAACAUCCUUCGUUAAAAUAAACAUUUAUCUAUGGAAACCA